AUUGAACGCUGGCGGCGUGCCUAACACAUGCAAGUCGAGCGGUAACAGGUGUAGCAAUACAUGCUGACGAGCGGCGGACGGGUGAGCAAUAUUUGGGAAUCUGCCUAUUAGUGGGGGAUAACCCGGGGAAACUCGGGCUAAUACCGCAUACGCUCUACGGAGGAAAGCCGGGGACCGCAAGGCCUGGCGCUAAUAGAUGAGCCCAAAUCGGAUUAGCUAGUUGGUGAGGUAAUGGCUCACCAAGGCGACGAUCCGUAGCUGGUUUGAGAGAACGACCAGCCACACCGGAACUGAGACACGGUCCGGACUCCUACGGGAGGCAGCAGUGGGGAAUAUUGGACAAUGGGCGAAAGCCUGAUCCAGCGACGCCGCGUGGGUGAAGAAGGCCUGCGGGUUGUAAAGCCCUUUCGGUUGGGAAGAAAAGUAUCGGCUUAAUACGUCGGUACCUUGACGUAACCAACAAAAGAAGCACCGGCUAACUCUGUGCCAGCCGCCGCGGUAA
rnacentral:rRNA from 1 species